CCUUUAACACCUUUCCUUCCAUGAAGAAUAUCAUGAAGAGAUCCAUUAGAUGCAAAUUCAUAUGCAAGUAUACGGGAACCUCCAUCAACACAAUACCCAAGCAAUUGUACAAAAUUUUCAUGUCUAAGCCUUGACACCAUUGAAACCUGGGCCAAGAACUCAUCGUCAGGCUGUUUGCUUGCAUCUAAUUUUUUUAUUGCUGCAGCCUGCCCACUUUUAAGCACCCCGUAAUAUACUCUUCCAUAUGAGCCCUCUCCAAUCAGAGAAUUUGUCCCAAAGUUAUC
rnacentral:misc_RNA from 1 species